rnacentral:rRNA from 1 species
GACGGAGGGUGCUAGCGUUGUUCGGAAUCACUGGGCGUAAAGGGCGCGUAGGCGGCCUCAGGUGUCGGAUGUGAAAGCCCGGGGCUCAACCCCGGAGGUGCAUCCGAAACUCUGGGGCUGGAGGUCGGAAGAGGAGGGUGGAAUACCCAGUGUAGAGGUGAAAUUCGUAGAUAUUGGCUGGAACACCGGUGGCGAAAGCGGCUCUCUGGCCCGGUUCUGACGCUGAGGCGCGAAAGCGUGGGGAGCAAACAGG